CACACUCGGACACACACGCACUCACGCGCACCCCAGCGCAAGGGCCAUCCUUCGGCGAGACCUGUUUAGUAAUAAACCCCCGAGGGACGGAGCGUGAGGGGCCGCGCCGCAGACCAGGACUCUGUGGAUAAAUAAGCAUCGCUGUCACCCUACAACGAAGUGCCGGCUCCCCUCCUGUAAUGCGUCAGCCCUCCCUGACAAGCAGAUAUUCCAGGCCGUGCUGUCUCGGGAAGAGCCUUCUUUGAAACAGUCCUGUGGGGAGAAGCGGCUGAGGACGCGUUCCCCCUGACAGAGCCGGACAGGCAGCCUGGUGCCUGAGGGACACGGUCUUGUGGCUUCUACCAGUCGAUAGACGCAGCCGGGACUGAGCGUGCUACCCUGUCCAAAGAAGCCGCCAUCUCCUUGGAGGAAGAUGGAACUUGAAUUGGAGUUCUAAGUCAGAGCCUUCUAUUGACCAGCCAAAAGUUCCCUGGAUUGAAGGCCAGCGGAGGGAAAUCAUUGAUUCUCCAACAUCCCCUCGGAGGGGAAAGUAAAUUGGGAAAGCCGCUGCUGUCCUGCUCUCUCUAGCGUAGCAGGCCAUGGUCUGCCAGGGCUAACCCUCUGUCCUCUCUCACCUCCCCUCC